GAACAAUUUUGUAUUUCUUAACACAAAUUAAUGCAUUAAUAAACACUACUUGAGUAGUGAUUGCUCUUUGAAGGUCAGAAAGAUGAAAAAAAUGCUUAAUAUGAAAGAGAACACAUAAAAUGUUCUUCUUCAACAGGACAAAAGUCUGAAAGAAGCAAACUAAAGCACAAGGGUCUGAAGUGGAAAAGAAGCUGUGUGGUCAGUCAGGCCCACCUACCCCAGGUAGACCAUGCACCAAGGCCUUCAGCAAGGAGGGACCAAGGAAGGUUAAUACUGGUAAGAGCAUAACUGGUAUUCAUCAGGCUAGAGAAAACUUAGGGGACUCUCACAUACAGCAGUACACCUUCCCUGCCAGUCCCAUGAGGCAGAGGUUCAACUGUCUUAUUUGGAUCAAGGCUUUAUGCCCUGCAUAUAGUGUAAGCACUACCUCAUUUACGCAAACAUCACACAAUCAGGAAAUAAACAAGGAGAGAAGGCACCAGCAAGGUCCAUCUUCCCACACUGGUGUAUCACGUAAGUCAAGAACAACUCCACAGAACCAGUGGAGCUGAACAGGCUUUUAACUUCUGUUAGAGAGCUUAUGGCACACCAUGUACACAGCUUGCUCACGGAGCCAUGUCAACACAACUCCUUAAAAGCUCAAGACUCAAAAUAUUAGAGGCAGAAGAAGUACUACUGCCAACUCACUGUUUCCUUUUUGGCAGUCACAGAAGCGAGUGGGUAAAUGAAUGAAUGCUGGAUAAUGAUGAGGACAGGCAUAAGCAUCACUAAUAUUUUCUGAUUAUGUAAAAGGUAAAUUGUCAUCAUUAGUGUGACAGAAACACAGGUCCAGUUUUAACAGUCAUUACAGGAAACACUGUGCAAGCAUAUGACAAUGCAGCAGCUGGAAACGGUAGAAAUUAUUCGGAAAUAUUCAGAAGUAUCAGUUAAUACUUCACAAAAUUGGUUGGAAAAUAGAGUAUAUUAUGUUUAUAUAAUUUUGACAACCUCUUCAGCUUUUGACUCACCUGACUCAUUAUAACUUCAACACACUUCCAGCUAGAACUGUGAAAUGAACUAUUUGGAUCAUAAUAGGACUGGUGAAUAACAAAUCAGUAAGAAACAGCACCACAAGCUAGUAUCUCUGUGUGUAAAGGAAAAACCAGCAGACAGUUGUAAAGAUUAGUAUGAAAUAUGUAAAUGAUUUGAAGUAGAGAAUUUCUCAGGAAGAAGGUUCCCUAACAAUAAGGCACUAAGCACAAUGCCGGAGAUUAACAUUCAAACUUACUUUAUAUCUAUUUUGGGGACCAUAUUUAGAAAAUAAUUCUUAUAGAGAAUAUAAAAGUUUAUUUGAUAAAUGCAUAUAAAAAGGAGAACAUAAAUGAUGCUUUUUCAAUGACUAAUUUUUAAGAUCUUGAGGUAGGCAUAUUUCAUGGAGGAUGGGGAGUGGAAAUGUCUACUUUAUUACAGUUAGGACCAUGGGUACUAAGAAGUAAAUACAUACAGUUUUAAAUUUUUAGUUCAUUAUCAUUUAGAAAAUAGAAGCCAGAUCUAAAAAGCUGUAAAAUCAUGUAAGCAACAGGGAAGAUCAAAUGGGAAAGCAAAUAAGGAAGUGUUUAGAGAUUUUCCGCGACUAAAAAGGAAAUUACCUUGCUUUACAAAUGAAGAUAAGGAUGACCUUACACACAAGAUCAACCUCUGUAGCCACUGACCUGCUACAUUAGCAUGACAUGCAUAUGAGAUGACCCAGCAGAUACGAGGCCCAUUUUCAGGGAAUCCUGCAACUCAGGACUUCCUCUGCAGUUUGUUUCAGCUUGGGUCAUGUUAUUAUGACAUUACUCCUAGAAGCAUCCCCCAGAUCCCCGUAUUUCCCAGAGUUCAUUCUAUAUGACAGAGGAAGAACCCAUGUAGAUUAGCACUGCCUGUGCCAGAAAUCAGCCUAUGGGUUGUACUUUUUUUUUUUCUUCUGAAAAUUGGAAGGACAGCAGCAGCAAAGGUAGCCAUAGCUUGUUUAGUAUGUUCUUGGUGCUUACAUUCUUACUGCAUCGCUCCUGUUCCUCAUAUGGCAACAAGCAACACAAUCAUUUACAAGUCCCAGCAUAUAUGAUAAUAGCUUAAUUACAUUUUGCAUGGAUAGAUCAGGUCUGAUUGUAACCAUUAACAGACAUGCUUGCAAAGCUUCUAGGCAUUUCACAUCUUGUACUACGCCAGAUCACAUUUCAAUUGCAUUGGUGGUGGGGAGUUAAGAUAGAUGAUGCCAAAUCACUGUUCCCUCAUCCUGCUCUCUCUGUUGCUAUGUUGUAAUUUAACCACAGCAGAGGCCCACCACACAACAUCCAUGUAAGACUGCAAUGGAUUACUGCAGUGGCACACACAGCCUUUAUGAGGUGCAGUUAAUUUUUUAUUUUAUUUAAAAUCUAUUUUAUAUUUAAAGUCUAUUUAUCAUUCCAUCUCUACACUUAAAUAAGGAAAAAUAGUAAAUUUAUUAGGAAUUUUCAUUCUGUGACAAAUAAGUGAAAAAUUCUCAUGAAACUUUGGCUUGUUAUAUUAAAUACAGGUAACCUGCAAGACAAAGAUACUUCAAACUGAGUUGCUCACAGUCAAACAGAAGAUCAAGCAUGGAAUUUUAAUUCUGGUGAAACCAGUCUCCUAGAUUCAAAUAGGAGUUCCUAUUUCCAUGUUCCAGACAACACAAAACAAUCAGUUUAUGAGGAAAUUUAGAUUAAAAGCUGUGGAUAAUUGUACUUGACCUUCAGUAAGUGUAAGAUUACAAAAAAUAAAAUUACUUUAACUUUGUUUUUAAACUUCACUGCAGGUUACAGUAAUUUUAUAACCUCAAUUUAAAUGUUUAAUUACCUAUAUAUAAAUGUCUUUUUCACUCUCGCUCUAUAAAGCAGAAUGCAACGAGAGGAAAAAAGCAACAAAUGCAGACUAAUAGACUGCCGAAUCAUUAAUCAGCAUGUCAAUAUACUGAAAUCCCUGGGAAUAACCUAAUGGUCAAAAAAUCUAGGCUUUCAUAACUUCAUAAAUAAAUCCAAAUGCAGUUUAGGCUCCUUCAGACAACACAGCUUCCAAAUAUGUUUUCUUUCCUACUUUUACUGAAAACCAGCUUAUCAGAUGUAAAAGCAAUGUGUGAACCAAAAAUUUAUUGCUUUUCAAAAUACAGAAAUAAAUUCGGAAGUACAUGAAUGAAUGCAGACAUUGUUCUGAGGAUCUUAUCUAUAUUACCUUUAAGACAGCACUAAACCCCAGCAUUUCUCAGGCUCAAAUAAAAUACUUAUUCUUACAUAAAAUUGGCCUUCACAUUUUUUAGUCUGCUUCCCGCAUCUUGAUAGCACUAUAGUCUCUCACAGUUAUGGAGACCUUUCCUAAGAGAAUCACUUCUAAAGAAGCAGUUCAGUUCCCUAAGAUCAGGUUUCCAUUUUGGAGGCCCUGUACACCUCUUACUGCCACACUGAUAACAGUUCCACGAUUAGGUGAAAUCAGUUGGGCUGCCCAAAGAAAACUCAUCUUGUGGUUUUGAAGGGAGAAGUGAAAGACCAAGACUGAAACUCAUCCAGUUCAGAAGAUACCUUAAUGUCAUGUUAUCAUCCUGAUUUUAGGAGGUCUUCUGUACAACACAAAACAAACAACCUGUUGCUACAGUUACCAAGUUCACUGGGACAUGAAUCAUCAAGGCAUGUUGAAACAUGGAAAGUUCAGAAGUCCUAUCUACCUUCGACUCUCUCCUCCCAGUGCUGCAGAAGCAGCAAAGGAUGCUGGAGCAUACCCUAUGGGAAGAGCCAAACUUGGUG